rnacentral:rRNA from 1 species
UACGUAGGGGGCUAGCGUUGUCCGGAAUCAUUGGGCGUAAAGAGCGUGUAGGCGGUCCGGUAAGUCCGCUGUGAAAGUCGGGGGCUCAACCCUCGAAUGCCGGUGGAUACUGUCGGGCUAGAGUGCGGAAGGGGCGAGUGGAAUUCCUGGUGUAGCGGUGAAAUGCGUAGAUAUCCGGAGGAACACCGGUGGCGAAGGCGGCUUCCUGGACCGACACUGACGCUGAGGCGCGAAAGCUAGGGGAGCAAACGGG